GACGAACGCUGGCGGCGUGCUUAACACAUGCAAGUCGAACGGUGACCCAGGGCUUGCCCUGGUGAUCAGUGGCGAACGGGUGAGUAACACGUGGGCAACCUGCCCCUGACUUCGGGAUAACUCCUCGAAAGAGGAGCUAAUACCGGAUACGACCACUUCGGACAUCCGAUGGUGGUGGAAAGUUUUCGGUCAGGGAUGGGCCCGCGGCCUAUCAGCUAGUUGGUGGGGUAAUGGCCUACCAAGGCGACGACGGGUAGCCGGCCUGAGAGGGCGACCGGCCACACUGGGACUGAGACACGGCCCAGACUCCUACGGGAGGCAGCAGUGGGGAAUAUUGCGCAAAUGGGCGAAAGCCUGACGCAGCGACGCCGCGUGAGGGAUGAAGGCCUUCGGUUGUAAACCUCUUUCAGCAGGACGAAGCGAAAGUGACGGU
rnacentral:rRNA from 1 species